rnacentral:rRNA from 1 species
GAUGAACGCUAGCGGCAGGCUUAAUACAUGCAAGUCGAGGGGCAGCAUGAAUGUAGCAAUACAUUUGAUGGCGACCGGCAAACGGGUGCGGAACACGUACACAACCUUCCUAUAAGUGGGGAAUAGCCCAGAGAAAUUUGGAUUAAUACCCCAUAACAUAAUGAUGUGGCAUCACAUUAUUAUUAUAGCUUCGGCGCUUAUUGAUGGGUGUGCGGCUGAUUAGAUAGUUGGCGGGGUAACGGUCCACCAAGUCUACGAUCAGUAGCUGAUGUGAGAGCAUGAUCAGCCACACGGGCACUGAGACACGGGCCCGACUCCUACGGGAGGCAGCAGUAAGGAAUAUUGGUCAAUGGACGCAAGUCUGAACCAGCCAUGCCGCGUGAAGGAUUAAGGUCCUCUGGAUUGUAAACUUCUUUUAUCUGGGACGAAAAAAGGCUAUUCUUAGUCACUUGACGGUACCAGAUGAAUAAGCACCGGCUAACUCUGUGCCAGCCGCCGCGGUAAUAC